CAAAAAUCCAGUCCUCGCGCAGCCCCGGCAACCUGUGCCUGUCGUCCCCGCAAAGUGAGAGCUCCUAAUUGGACCGUGCAACAUCCUCGCUGCCCGGAACCGCCCCCCGACCCAAAGGCCGCCGCUGCUAUUCAAAGAAUGUUGGGAACCAGAACCCACACUGCCACAUCUUGCCCUCCCUCUGCUCAUGACCUGGUUUCAACUUUAAGAAACCAGAAUCCACCAGACAGGCCUUCCCAGCAUUUUCCCAGGAAAAUGGCUCCCAGUAGAAGAAAACCAAGGUUUGUGGCCAUUGGCUCUUGCCAUCUCCAUUCAACAUCUCCCUUGGUCACCGUCAAUUUCUUGUUCCGUGCCUGAUCAUUUCUGUCGUCAUGCAAACACACUGUGCACCUCUCGUUCCAAGAAAGCUGUCGCCGCAUCCUUUCACAAGGCAAUUGGGUGAGGCGGGUGUUGGAAGAGCUCUCUACACUCCGAAGAACAAUAAAGGAAGCAAAAAAGCAGGAAACUGUCUGAGGAUGUGCCUGCUAAAGGGAAAAGAUGGCGUGCACCAUGCAUGGGACACAAGAAACAAAGAAGUGCCAAGGGGAGAGCUCACUGCACUCACCCAGUGGGGCAGCCAGAGAGCCAGGACGACAUGGUAGAAAGGAAGCAAAAAGCCAGGAGGGGAAAAGGCAGAAGCUGUAAAGGCUUGAACUAGUGAGGCAGCACCUGCCUCUGAGGGUAAACACGGGUUAGGAAUGGGAGAAAGUGAGAGAUGAGAACCUACGAUCCAGAUGUCGGCCUUGGCAGCUGGGGGAAAAAUGUUUUCCACAGGACAAAUGUCAGGGGGUCUCCUACAGUUCCAGAGAGGUGAAUUUCACUUUUCAGAGCACGGUCCAUCUCAAGGGGAAGCUGGGACAACAGGGAAAACACCCUGGUCGUCUGAAUGGAAUUCCGUCUGUAAUCUUCUUGGGAAGUGCCUGGAGCGUGGGGAAUGCCCAAAUGUGCUGGUCCACAAGCUCCACUGAGAGCACAGAAGGGAACCAGAUGCUGGUGUGCCAUCACAGGAGAGGGCUCCUAAGCCGAGCGGCCUUAACCCAAAGCCUGAGAAAUAACAGACAAAGAGAACGGAGCUGAGAACGGUGAGAGGAGCUGAGUUUGUUGGCCCUCAGCUACGAGAACAGGGCCGAGGCUACCCCAGCGCUAUAAUACUGAGCUACCUCACCAGCAAAAUGUCCCAGGCGGAGCAAGCAACAGGCAAAAAGCAGCUCUAUACUCAGACCUCCCUGCAUCCUCAGACAACACGAUGCAGACUGUUCUCCUGAGGCUUAACUGGCCGGCAUGCUACACUAUCCCAGCUCCUAAUGUGCUCUGGAACCCGAUAUCCUGCUUUCAAUGGGGCCUGUU
ensembl:lncRNA